rnacentral:rRNA from 1 species
GACGAACGCUGGCGGCGUGCCUAAUACAUGCAAGUUGAGCGCUGAAGGUUGGUCCUUGUACCAACUGGAUGAGCAGCGAACGGGUGAGUAACGCGUGGGGAAUCUGCCUUUGAGCGGGGGACAACAUUUGGAAACGAAUGCUAAUACCGCAUAAAAACUUUAAACACAAGUUUUAAGUUUGAAAGAUGCAAUUGCAUCACUCAAAGAUGAUCCCGCGUUGUAUUAGCUAGUUGGUGAGGUAAAGGCUCACCAAGGCGAUGAUACAUAGCCGACCUGAGAGGGUGAUCGGCCACAUUGGGACUGAGACACGGCCCAAACUCCUACGGGAGGCAGCAGUAGGGAAUCUUCGGCAAUGGACGAAAGUCUGACCGAGCAACGCCGCGUGAGUGAAGAAGGUUUUCGGAUCGUAAAACUCUGUUGGUAGAGAAGAACGUAGGUGAGAGUGGAAAGCUCAUCAAGUGACGGUAACUACCCAGAAAGGGACGGCUAACUACGUG